UUAGGGGUUGUACAAGGGUGGGGUGGUUGGGUGAGGAAGGCUAGGGGUUGUACAAGGGUGGGGUGGAGAUGGGUGGGUGAGGAAGGCUAGGGGUUGUACAAGGGUGGGGUGGAGAUGGGUGGUGAGGAAGGCUAGGGGUUGUACAAGGGUGGGGUGGAGAUGGGUGGGUGAGGAAGGCUAGGUGUUGUACAAGGCUGGGGUGGGGAUGGGUGGAGAUGGGUGGUGAGGAAGGCUAGGGGUUGUACAAGACUGGGGUGGUGAGGAAGGCUAGGGGUUGUACAAGGCUGGGGUGGGGAUGGGUGGUGAGGAAGGCUAGGGGUUGUACAAGGGUGGGGUGGAGAUGGGUGGGUGAGGAAGGCUAGGUGUUGUACAAGGCUGGGGUGGGGAUGGGUGGAGAUGGGUGGUGAGGAAGGCUAGGGGUUGUACAAGGCUGGGGUGGUGAGGAAGGCUAGGGGUUGUACAAGGCUGGGGUGGAGAUGGGUGGGUGAGGAAGGCUAGGUGUUGUACAACGCUGGGGUGGGGAUGGGUGGAGAUGGGUGGUGAGGAAGGCUAGGGGUUGUACAAGGUUGGGGUGGUGAGGAAGGCUAGGGGUUGUACAAGGCUGGGGUGGGGAUGGGUGAAGAUGGGUGGUUCAGGAAGGCUAGGGGUUGUACAAGGGUGGGGUGGAGAUGGGUGGUGAGGAAGGCUAGGGGUUGUACAAGGUUGGGGUGGUGAGGAAGGCUAGGGGUUGUACAAGGCUGGGGUGGAGAUGGGUGGUGAGGAAGGUUAGGGGUUGUACAAGGCUGGGGUGGGGAUGGGUGGUGAGGAAGGCUAGGGGUUGUACAAGGCUAGGGAGGGGAUUGUUGGAGAUGGGUGGGUGAGGAAGGCUAGGGGUUGUACAAGGCUGGGGUGGAGAUGGGUGGUGAGGAAGGCUAGGGGUUGUACAAGGCUGGGGUGGAGAUGGGUGGUGAGGAAGGCUAGGGGUUGUUCAAGGCUGGGGUGGAGAUGGGUGGGUGAGGAAGGCUAGGUGUUGUACAAGGCUGGGGUGGAGAUGGGUGGGUGAGGAAGGCUAGGUGUUGUACAAGGCUAGGGUGGGGAUGGGUGGAGAUGGGUGGUGAGGAAGGCUAGGGGUUGUUCAAGGCUGGGGUGGAGAUGGGUGGGUGAGGAAGGCUAAGGGUUUUACUUAAGGGUAGGGUGGGGGUAGGUAGAGAUGGGUGGGUGAGGAAGGAAGGCUAGGGGUUGUACAAGGAUGGGGUGGGGGUGGGUGAGGAAGGAAGGAAGGCUAGGGGUUGUACAAGGGUGGGGUGGGGAUGGGUGAGGAAGGCUAAGGGUUGUACAAGGGAUGGGUGGGUGAGGAAGGAAGGCUAGGGGUUGUACAAGGGUGGGUAGGGGUGGGUAGAGAUGAAGGUAGGAUGAUGAUAGUUGAGAGAUAUACAGGGAUGGGUCUAAGGAUGGUACGGAGGAGAGGAUGAUGAAGCUAUAGGCUAGUGAAUGAUUGCAAGCUGUCUGAGGGGCAAUGAAUUGCAAGUGUCCUGUCCUCCCCUUUGAAUUAUGUCACUUUAAAUAUGUUUUGUAUUCCCAAUAUGAAGAGUGUGCACAUUCCUUUGAUAAUAAUUUCUCCCUUUCUUUAUCUAGAAGUCACUUCCUUGCCUCUGUUAUUGUAUAGCUAGUUAUCUGAGUUAUUCCUCCUUAUUGCAUGAGAGAAAAGUUAUUUCUGAGAGGGUUUAGCCAUUCCUUGACCUGUCUGACUCUGGUAUGUAACAGUCAUUGCAUAUUUGAUACAAAUGUAAACUGUUACAUUUAUUUGGUAUAUAUAUAGGCUAUUUACUUUCAAAUUGUUUGUUAGUUAUGAGCAGUAUUUCUGGGUGGAAUAAUCAUUUGAGCAAAGAGCAAAAAUAACCAUGCUUCCGUUAUGAAUCAAAUGAAGCCACAAUAUGAAAGUAAGCGCUAAUGGUGGUUACAGUUGGCUCUGGACUUGGCUCAGGUCUGGCUUGUGCUGAGUUUAGUCCUGGACUUGGCUCAGGUCUUGCUUGUGCUGAGUUUAGUCCUGGACUUGGUUCAGGUCUGCCCUGUGCUUAGUUUAGUCCUGGACUUGGUUCAGGUCUGCCCUGUGCUUAGUUUAGUCCUGGACUUGGUUCAGGUCUGCCCUGUGCUUAGUUUAGUUCUGGACUUGGUUCAGGUCUGCCCUGUGCUUAGUUUGGUCCUGGACUUGGCUCAGGUCUUGCUUGUGCUGAGUUUAGUCCUGGACUUGGUUCAGGUCUGCCCUGUGCUGAGUUUAGUCCUGGGCUUGGCUCAGGUCUGUCCUGUGCUUAGUUUAGUCCUGGGCUUGGUUCAGGUCUGCCCUGUGCUGUGCUUAGUUUAGUCCUGGACUUGGUUCAGGUCUGUCCUGUGCUUAGUUUAGUCCUGGGCUUGGUUCAAGGUCCUCCUACUUCCAUAUUAUUUUCUCUAUAAGUCAACCCUGUGUUCCAGCCUAGCAAGUGUUCCAGUCUCUUAUUGAGUUUUACAUUCUUAAGUGCAUGUUGCACUCAUUUACUUUGUUUUAUGUGUUUCAUUUCAUGUGUUGUAUAUGUCAACAUGUACAUUAGACUGUUAGCUAUUACUUAUGCACUGUAGUGUACCACUGUGUCAACAGUACCUGUGGACAACGUUGCGAUGUGAUGAUGUAUUUGAUGAGGAUUAUAUUAUGUAGAGAUGGUGGCUGGAGUUUCCAGGAAACAGUAGCUAGAUUUGUGUGUAGUAUCACAUUGUAGAUAUUCCUCUUCCAUGAUUUGUAUCUAUAUUAAAACAUUUCACUUAGGAUUUAGUACCCAUCAGUAUGUAUCUGUUUCUAACAACUGUUAUUUACUAUGAUGUUCAGGUUUUGACUCUAUUGGGGUUACAUUCUAUACAGAAACGCACCUUCACUAAGUGAUCAGAGGACAUGCUUGAAAAAAGUGGUUAGCUUGAGUGAAGUCAGGGUGAUAGUCAUUAUUUUGAAACAACCCAAUGACUAGAAAGUAAAUGAAACUGGAAGCCACAAAAAGAACCAUACCUCAUUCCUUAAUUUUCUUUGAAUACUGCCUGAUUAUGGUAAUCAACACAGAUCACACUUCAUGUGCCACAAUAAACCUAUCUUACUCCAUUAUUUUGGGGACCUUAUUUCAGAAAGAGAGAACAAUGUAUGAAUCUCAUUUUUUAUACCAAAAUAUUUUGAGAUCAUGACACCUAGUUCAGAGAAACCUUUGUUUGGUAAAAAACAUGUUUCAUAAACCACAGUUUUGAUGAUAAACUUAAAGAAAAAUACUCACUGGAAAUGUCUCUUUGUUAGAUUUUCUUGAGUCCUUCUUUACAUUAAACCUGUUGAACUGUUACUCUUGUUAGGAUCUUCAGUGAUGAAGUUUUAGAAGCAGAACCUGAUGACGGAUAUUUAUGUUGUAUUGAAACUUUAUGCGAUGAACGGUUAUUGUUAUAUUUGCUGUUGCUAUACAUAUAUCUUUAGCUCACUACUGUUUUGUUAAUGCUUUGUAAAGACAUUCCAUUGGUAAAUUACAUUUGCUUGUUUAGGGCCACUAUGUUAAACAUUGAAUUGGGAUAUGUUCUGGUACUAUUCAUGAAAUAUGUUCUAUAAAAAGAAAACAGUAUAUUGUAAAACUGAUGUGUUUUUGUUGUUUUACUUUUAAUUACUUCAAUUAUGAAAAGAAAUGUUAUAAUGUAUAUAUGUGUCAAUUUAUUGGGCUCUUUUUUAACAGAGUAAAGAUAUUUCAAUUACUGAUUGUUGUGCCUGUUACCUUGUAGGCUUCUCUACUUGUGGGUGUUAUCAUUGGAUGUUCUGAUAAUCAACAGGUGAGCUUCCAGAGAGGGCUUCUACUUUGUAUGGUUUUCCAUAUCAGCAGUCCCCAGGUCUGAUGUCAGGCCAUGGAGUAUGCAGCACCUGUUGGUGGCCAAGGUCUGAUGUCAGGCCAUGGAGUAUGCAGCACCUGUUGGUGGCCAAGGUCUGAUGUCAGGCCAUGGAGUAUGCAGCACCUGUUGGUGGCCAAGGUCUGAUGUCAGGCCAUGGCGUAUGCAGCUCCUGUUGGUGGCCAAGGUCUGAUGUCAGGCCAUGGAGUAUGCAGCACCUGUUGGUGGCCAAGGUCUGAUGUCAGGCCAUGGAGUAUGCAGCACCUGUUGGUGGCCAAGGUCUGAUGUCAGGCCAUGGAGUAUGCAGCACCUGUUGGUGGCCAAGGUUUGAUGUCAGGCCAUGGAGUAUGCAGCACCCGUUGGUGGCCAAGGUCUGAUAUAAGGCCAUGGAGUAUGUAGCACCCAUUGGUGGCCAAGGUCUGAUGUCAGGCCAUGGAGUAUGCAGCACCCGUUGGUGGCCAAGGUCUGAUAUAAGGCCAUGGAGUAUGUAGCACCCGUUGGUGGCCAAGGUCUGAUGUCAGGCCAUGGAGUAUGCAGCACCUGUUGGUGGCCAAGGUCUGAUGUCAGGCCAUGGAGUAUGCAGCACCUGUUGGUGGCCAAGGUCUAAUAUAAGGCCAUGGAGUAUACAGCACCUGUUGGUGGCCAAGGUCUGAUAUAAGGCCAUGGAGUAUGUAGCACCUGUUGGUGCCAAGGUCUGAUAUAAGGCCUUGGAGUAUACAGCACCUGUUGGUGGCCAAGGUCUAAUGUCAGGCCAUGGAGUAUGCAGCACCUGUUUGUGGCCAAGGUCUGAUAUAAGGCCAUGGAGUAUGCAGCACCUGUUGGUGGCCAAGGUCUGAUUGUCAGGCCAUGGAGUACAAAGCAACUGUUGGUGGCCAAGGUAUGAUUGUCGGGCCAUGGAGUAUGCAGCUCCUGUUGGUGGCCAAGGUCUGAUGUCAGGCCAUGGAGUAUGCAGCACCUGUUGGUGGCCAAGGUCUGAUGUCAGGCCAUGGAGUAUGCAGCACCUGUUGGUGGCCAAGGUCUGAUGUCAGGCCAUGGAGUAUGCAGCACCUGUUGGUGGCCAAGGUUUGAUGUCAGGCCAUGGAGUAUGCAGCACCCGUUGGUGGCCAAGGUCUGAUAUAAGGCCAUGGAGUAUGUAGCACCCAUUGGUGGCCAAGGUCUGAUGUCAGGCCAUGGAGUAUGCAGCACCCGUUGGUGGCCAAGGUCUGAUAUAAGGCCAUGGAGUAUGUAGCACCCGUUGGUGGCUAAGGUCUGAUGUCAGGCCAUGGAGUAUGCAGCACCUGUUGGUGGCCAAGGUCUGAUGUCAGGCCAUGGAGUAUGCAGCACCUGUUGGUGGCCAAGGUCUAAUAUAAGGCCAUGGAGUAUACAGCACCUGUUGGUGGCCAAGGUCUGAUAUAAGGCCAUGGAGUAUGUAGCACCUGUUGGUGCCAAGGUCUGAUAUAAGGCCUUGGAGUAUACAGCACCUGUUGGUGGCCAAGGUCUAAUGUCAGGCCAUGGAGUAUGCAGCACCUAUUGGUGGCCAAGGUCUGAUAUAAGGCCAUGGAGUAUGCAGCACCUGUUUGUGGCCAAGGUCUGAUAUAAGGCCAUGGAGUAUGCAGCACCUGUUGGUGGCCAAGGUCUGAUUGUCAGGCCAUGGAGUACAAAGCAACUGUUGGUGGCCAAGGUAUGAUUGUCGGGCCAUGGAGUAUGCAGCACCUGUUGGUGGCUAAUGUGUGAUUGUCAGGCCAUGGAGUACAAAGCACCUGUUGGUGGCCAAUAUGUGAUUGUCAGGCCAUGGAGUACAAAGCACCUGUUGGUGGCCAAGGUCUGAUUGUCAGGCCAUGGAGUACAAAGCAACUGUUGGUGGCCGAGGUAUGAUUGUCAGGCCAUGGAGUACAAAGCACCUGUUGGUGGCCAAUGUGUGAUUGUCAGGCCAUGGAGUAUGUAGCACCCUUUGGUGGUCAAGGUCUGAUUGUCAGGCCAUGGAGUACAAACCACAUGUUGGUGGCUAAGGUCUUAUAUUAGGCCAUGGAAUAUGUAUCACCUGUUGGCGGCUGAGGUUUGAUGUCAGGUCAUGGAAUACUUAGUACCUGAAGGUAGCUUAGGCAGUCUCAUCAUCAGCAAAUGGUCACACACUCACCGGUAUUACCAGGAAAUGACAAGCUGUACUUAAACAUUAAUUCACAAAAUACACAGACAAUAAUAAAUGGUCACAAUGUCAUGACCAUGUCUUUCAUUGCCCUGAGCAUAUGAAUAUCUUUUAUGUCCACGGACAAGCCAUGAUAUGUUUCAUGUGAGUGGAUGUUAAUGCAGGUAACAAAGGAGAGUUCAUCACCAGCAAAUUCUGUAUAUUGCAUCUUGUAAAAAUGUUUAUUUACACCCAAUCUGAAUAUGUCUACAUUUAUAUCUAUAUUUAUGUAUCUACACAUUGUACAGUUGUGGUAGUAGUUGAGAAAGUGGGCAAAGUUAUUCCUGUGGGUGUUUUACUGUUUGUUUGAAUCGACUAGUUUUUUAUGUUUCUGCAAGAUUUCUAUAUUAUACGCAAUGCCUUGUGACUUUUCAUUGUGUUAUCGCUUUACUAGGCUGUAGAAUGUGAUUUAGAAAAGACAAAAUGCUUUGUUGUUUAUAAAUGCUCUAUUAUUCUCAGCAUGAUUAAAUUAAUUUCAAAUUAAUUAUUUUGUUAACAAACAUUUGGUAACAAUUUCAAACAGUAAAUACAAACAGUGGAAUAUAUUUUGGCUUUGAUUAUAAUACUAAAAUGGCAACAUUUCUGACAUUGUUGAUGAUUUUGUAGUGAUCUCCUGAAUGCUUUAGUCAUAUCAUGUGGAAUGUUAUCAAACUAUUCUGGUGAGGCUUUCUCUAGUCACAUGGUAGUGAGUCUUUGUCCACUGCAUUUUCACGGCCAAGGAAGUUUCUAGAGACAGUAACACCAGUGGUAUCAAUGCUACACUGGAUUGUUGAAGCAGUGGUGAUUGCUAGGAUUUGUGUGGAGUUGAGUUGGAGAGCCAGUUUGCUCUGAUUGAGGGAAGAUGUAAAAUCUUGUAGUGCAUCUUGAACCCCACCCUUGUCACAGGAACUCAAUGAUAGCGUGUAUAACACAAUAUAUUCGUAUAGAAAAAAAAUCACACCCCUCUAUAUACAUAGAGACUCUAUGUAUAUAGAGGGGUGUGAUUUCUUUUUAUACGAAUAUAUUGUGUUAUACACACUAUCAUCGAGUUCCUGUGACCCUUGUUGGUCACCAUGGAAACAAUAUACACUCUAGUGCCACAUCAAUAAAUCUUUUCUAAAAGCAUGUUCUGGAGGCUGUGCACACAAACAUGUUACUCUUUGAAUAGGAAACAUUAUUCCAGGAAGCCCCACAGAAAGGUUAGAUAUGGUGAUUGAUUUUAGCUACAUUUCUACAGAUAUAGGAGAAUGUUGGAAAUCUUACCACCUCUAUGAUAUGUACUGGUGCUUGUAGUGUUGUAUGGCAAAUGAAAUGGUUUCGACUUCUGGAUAUGCUUCCAUGUUUGAUAUAAUGUGUUUUGUUCUUGAAAAAAAUAUAUGUAUGUAUACUGUUUUAUGGCACUAUUAUGCACAUGUUACAAUAAGAUUAACACUAACUAAAUAAAUGUAUACAAUUGGUACCAAGACUUUUGUUAGAGGAUUAAUUUUGUAUUAGUAAUCAAGAAAAAAUUAUUUAUGCUUGUUAGAUUUUGGCAUAGAGAAAGAUAUGGGAAAGCCUUUAUGAACAAGUAUAAAUUCCAGUGACUGAAAAGAACAAGUUGUUCCAGCACCCAAAGGCUGUUCUCAACUGACUGUUGGACCACCUUACACUGCAUGUAUUUGUGAACUGGGAACUGUCCUCUCAGCAUGUGGCAUCAGCUGUCUCCAUCAUCAUGCCAACUACUUUCAAGUCCAAUAAAACAUGAUAUACCUCUUUACGAUGCCCUAUGGGUUUUUGGUCUCUGAUGCCACAUGUUGACUGAGCAGGUCGUUGAGAUGCAUGGUUCCAAGUUACUUUGGCCAGGAAGUACUGUGCCAACAAGGCCCAUUGAGACUGGUAACUUGGGGGAUCUCCUAGCUCGUUAUUGCACAGGAACACUGGCUUUUGUCAUUACAUUAUCAUCACUUUAUCACUGCAUUCAUCGACAUCAUCAAAGAUGAUGAUCGGUGCUAUUUUCACAAAUAAAGAGGUAUAAAUUCA